UGAACUUAAGCAUAUCAAUAAGCGGAGGAAAAGAAACCAACAGGGAUUGCCCUAGUAACGGCGAGUGAAGCGGCAACAGCUCAAAUUUGAAAUCUGGCCUCGGCCCGAGUUGUAAUUUGUAGAGGCGGCUUUUGGUGCGGCACCUACUGAGUCCCCUGGAACGGGGCGCCAUAGAGGGUGAGAGCCCCGUAUAGUAGGAUGCCUAGCCUGUGUAAAGCCCCUUCGACGAGUCGAGUAGUUUGGGAAUGCUGCUCUAAAUGGGAGGUAAAUUUCUUCUAAAGCUAAAUAUUGGCCAGAGACCGAUAGCGCACAAGUAGAGUGAUCGAAAGAUGAAAAGCACUUUGAAAAGAGGGUUAAACAGCACGUGAAAUUGUUGAAAGGGAAGCGCUUGUGACCAGACUUGCGCCGGGCGGAUCAUCCGGUGUUCUCACCGGUGCACUCCGCCCGGCUCAGGCCAGCAUCGGUUCUCGUGGGGGGAUAAAGGCUCUGGGAACGUGGCUCCUUCGGGAGUGUUAUAGCCCAGGGUGCAAUGCCCUCGUGGGGACCGAGGUUCGCGCAUCUGCAAGGAUGCUGGCGUAAUGGUCAUCAGCGACCCGUCUUGAAACACGGACCAAGGAGUCAAGGUUUUGCGCGAGUGUUUGGGUGUCAAACCCGCACGCGUAAUGAAAGUGAACGUAGGUGAGAGCUUCGGCGCAUCAUCGACCGAUCCUGAUGUAUUCGGAUGGAUUUGAGUAGGAGCGUUAAGCCUUGGACCCGAAAGAUGGUGAACUAUGCUUGGAUAGGGUGAAGCCAGAGGAAACUCUGGUGGAGGCUCGCAGCGGUUCUGACGUGCAAAUCGAUCGUCAAAUCUGAGCAUGGGGGCGAAAGACUAAUCGAACCAUCUAGUAGCUGGUUACCGCCGAAGUUUCCCUCAGGAUAGCAGUGUUGUUCUUCAGUUUUAUGAGGUAAAGCGAAUGAUUAGGGACUCGGGGGCGCUAUAUAGCCUUCAUCCAUUCUCAAACUUUAAAUAUGUAAGAAGCCCUUGUUACUUAAUUGAACGUGGGCAUUCGAAUGUACCAACACUAGUGGGCCAUUUUUGGUAAGCAGA
rnacentral:rRNA from 1 species